UACGUAGGGUGCAAGCGUUAAUCGGAAUUACUGGGCGUAAAGCGUGCGCAGGCGGCUAUGCAAGACAGAUGUGAAAUCCCCGGGCUCAACCUGGGAACUGCAUUUGUGACUGCAUGGCUAGAGUACGGUAGAGGGGGAUGGAAUUCCGCGUGUAGCAGUGAAAUGCGUAGAUAUGCGGAGGAACACCGAUGGCGAAGGCAAUCCCCUGGACCUGUACUGACGCUCAUGCACGAAAGCGGGGUGGAGCAAACAGG
rnacentral:rRNA from 1 species